AGUGAACGCUGGCGGUAGGCCUAACACAUGCAAGUCGAACGGCAGCACAGUAAGAGCUUGCUCUUACGGGUGGCGAGUGGCGGACGGGUGAGGAAUACAUCCGAAUCUACUUUUUCGUGGGGGUUAACGUAGGGAAACUUACGCUAAUACCGCAUACGACCUACGGGUGAAAGCAUGGGAUCUUCGGACCUUGCGCGAUUGAAUGAGCCGAUGUCGGAUUAGCUAGUUGGCGGGGUAAAGGCCCACCAAGGCGACGAUCCGUAGCUGGUCUGAGAGGAGGAUCAGCCACACUGGAACUGAGACACGGUCCAGACUCCUACGGGAGGCAGCAGUGGGGAAUAUUGGACAAUGGGCGCAAGCCUGAUCCAGCCAUACCGCGUGGGUGAAGAAGGCCUUCGGGUUGUAAAGCCCUUUUGUUGGGAAAGAAAAGCAGCAGGUUAAUACCCCGCUGUUCUGACGGUACCCAAAGAAUAAGCACCGGCUAACUUCGUG
rnacentral:rRNA from 1 species